AGCAUUACAUUCAUCCAGCCAUGACAAGCGUUAUGAAGAGUGGGUUCAUAUUUCAAUUCCCAGUUGGUGGACUCAUUUAAAGGCUCUGUGAUUCACUGAAUUAUCAUGGGUCAGAUUUUCCUGGAGGCAUCACUAUGCCUUCUGUUGAAUCAGGCAAUUAAAAUGAAAGUCACCAGAAAAAUACUCGGGGGUGGCCAUUUUGUAUGAUACUUUGAAUAACUUGCCUGAUACACUGUAAUCCCUAACAGUUGUUCUAGCUCAUAACUAAUAAGCUCAUAACACUCAAAUGUCGUUUUGUAGUUGAGCAAACUAUAAAGUAUUGAGCUCUGUUGGCUUUUAUGCGACUUUAAUUGAAUAGGGCUCAAUAUUUUUUAGCUAAUUUGUUUGGAACGCUCAAAAAGUUUAAGAAGCAUAUAUUAGUGACGUUCUGGUGGGUGGAGUCUUGUCGCUCCCUCAGGAAAGCUGAGUCAGCCAUCUUGAAUUUACCUUGAUGCGGGGAAGAUUUGGCCUGCCCGUGUGGAUUAAGAGUCCCCAACUUCAACCUACAACGACCACCACCUUAAUUUUUUUCAUCAACUGCCCUAAAUUUGGUAAGUCUAACGUGUUUUUGUUUUGUUUAAAUUUAAUUUCGAUAAACAGUCUUUUUUAUUUUUUACUGGAAAUAUAUUCGUACUUUGUGCACAGUGAAUGUUUGUUAUAAAUAAAUUCGAAUCCAAGUAAUUGUAAUUUUAGAAGUUUUCGAAUGUGACAAAUACGUAAUGUUAUUUCAAAUUACAACGGUGUAACGUUUUGGCGGUUUUCCGUGGGGGACAACAUUUCCCAUAAUGCAUUGUAUUCUUGCCCGGGAAGUUGACGGUGGCAGUUCUAGCUCCAUGCAUUUGAACUUUCUACUAAAACUUUCUACUGUCCGUUUCUACCGGUUGUCGUAUUCGCCGGUAAUGCACGUGCGUAUUAGGGGUAUUCCACUAAGCGAGCUCUACAAGUCAAGACUGGGCAGUGGGUCCAUGAAUAAACUGCCUCACUCCUGCAGGUGUCUGUCCAUACUUCCCAUCGUUCAAGAACCAAAAGAUGGCUGCUGCCCAGAAGCAUGUGGUGCAUGUGUAUGUUGAACGAGACACCGCCCUGAAACUUACUCUACUUGAGCGACCAAAGUCAGUGGAGGAGCUGAAAGAAAUAAUUAAAGAGAGGAGGUUCAAGCCAAGACCGAAUGGGGACUUUAGCCUUCACUAUGUCCUCAUGGACACAACCUAUGCCCUAUGUCGCCAAGAAAUUGUUGGAGCUGUUGGAGCUCCACGAGUGAGAGACAUCGUGGACAGAUGGCCAGCCCUACUUAUGGAGUCACAGGUGGUUGCAGAGUUCCACCGAAUCAAGAAUGUUAACCUGCGCACUCAAUUCUACAAGGAGCUGGACAGACACACGCCUAGACUCAUCACUUUGUUCCGAGACAAGGCCAUCAAGACUGGCAAGAUUGCAGAGGAGCUAGCAAGCUCAUGAGAAUUUAUGACAUUCAGGAACAGCGUGAUGUAAAUACAAGACGGGUCCUCGUCCUUCAUGCACUUCCUGUGUACCUGCGUGAAGAUGCCUCCACGUUAUUCAGGACUUGUGAUUCAGCAGAUGGUCCAGACCUCACUGUCACUCUUGUGGCUCUGCUGACAGUUGUCACGGAUGACACUACUGAUUCGGCCCUCUUCAGUCCCGAAAGUAUCUGCAUUGUCGUUGAGGAUGAAAUACUUGUGAAUGGUCCCACAAAUCUGGCUGACUCAUUUCUCCUGCUCUUUGGGUACAUCUAUGCACUAGACCUACAAUACCCAAAGAAACUUGAGCUUACAUUCACAUUUAUCCAGAAGGUUGUGAUGUGCCUUGAGGACAACAAACCACUGAAAGGGCGUCUACUGACGCUGAAGAAUGAUUUGUUCAAUGAGUGAAUCACUCAGAAUGGACUACUUGUUGAGCUGAGUAUUGAGAAAGCUUUUUUUUUUUUUU